AUACGAACCGUACGAACGUUAUUCGGAAUCACUGGGCUUAAAGAGUGCGUAGGCGGCCUGGUAAGUUGGAUGUGAAAUCCCUCGGCUCAACCGAGGAACUGCGUUCAAUACUGCCAAGCUUGAGGGAGAUAGAGGUGAGCGGAACUAAUGGUGGAGCGGUGAAAUGCGUUGAUAUCAUUAGGAACACCGGUGGCGAAAGCGGCUCACUGGGUCUCUUCUGACGCUGAGGCACGAAAGCUAGGGGAGCGAACGGGAUUAGAAACCCCAGUAGUCC
rnacentral:rRNA from 1 species